rnacentral:sRNA from 1 species
ACAGAUAUGCUUGUGUAAGGGUUUAUUGUUACUGAAGGAAGGCAGUGGCAGUUUAUACUUAAAUAUGAGGAACUGAGACAGUCACAGAGGGGUUAGGAGACUUGCCCACGGUCAUGCAGCUCGUAAGUGUUGGUGCCAGGAUUCAAGUAUGGCUGAGUGCUUGUCUUCAACCCUCCUAGAUCACCCCCUGUGUUGAAGUUCUAUUACCGUUCAUUACGUGCACAGUUCUCAAAAUAAUCCUAUGUGUGUGACACCCAGCCCCUGCCAGUCCCCCAUGGCCCCGUGGAGCCGAGAGGCGGUGCUGAGUCUCUAUCGGGCUCUGUUGCGCCAGGGCCGACAGCUUCGCUACACUGAUCGAGACUUCUACUUUGCCUCCAUCCGCCGUGAAUUCCGAAAAAAUCAGAAGCUAGAGGACCCUGAGGCCCGGGAGAGGCAGCUGGAGAAGGGCCUGGUCUUUCUCAACGGCAAAUUGGGGAGGAUCAUUUAGGAUCCUCCAAGGGAAAGAGGACAAAGGUGCCUUCUGUAGACACUCCUGCUCUCUUCCAUCCCUGUCU